GUUUGUGCACUUUCCCACAUCAUCUCCUAUCAAUUCUCUUCAUCAGAGGAAACAGAAAUGAUUCUCUGGCUAAACUUUAUGUGUUUACUAGCAGCCCUUGGAGGUGUCAAGUCUCAAGUCCAGUUGGUGGAGUCUGGAGGGGAUGUGAGAAGACCUGGGGAGUCCCUCCGUCUCUCCUGCCAAGCCUCUGGAUUCACCUUCAGCAGCUAUUACAUGGGCUGGGUGAGACAGACUCCAGGGAAAGGCCUGGAAUGGGUUGCAGAUAUUGGUAGAUCCUCAUCUCCAACUCGCUACUCGGACAAAGUCAAGGGACGCUUCACCAUCUCUAGAGAUGAUUCCCAGAGGCAGCUUUAUCUACAAAUGAACCGUCUGAAAGAAGAGGACACAGCUGUCUAUUACUGUGUGAGAGAGACACAGUGA